UACAGAGGUCUCAAGCGUUUGUUCGGAUUCAGUUGGGCGUAAGGGGUGCGUAGGCGGCGCGGUAAGUCGGGUGUGAAAUCUCGGAGCUUAACUCCGAAACUGCAUUCGAUACUGCCGUGCUUGAGGACUUGGAGAGGAGACUGGAAUUUCCGGUGUAGCGGUGAAAUGGCGUAGAUAUCGGAAGGAACACCAGUGGCGAAAGCG
rnacentral:rRNA from 1 species